CCUACGGGUGGCAGCAGUGGGGAAUAUUGGGCAAUGGGCGCAAGCCUGACCCAGCAACGCCGCGUGAAGGAAGAAGGCCCUCGGGUUGUAAACUUCUUUUCUGAGGGACGAAGAAAGUGACGGUACCUCAGGAAUAAGCCACGGCUAACUACGUGCCAGCAGCCGCGGUAAUACGUAGGUGGCAAGCGUUAUCCGGAUUUAUUGGGUGUAAAGGGCGUGUAGGCGGGAAAGCAAGUCAGAUGUGAAAUCUCAGGGCUCAACCCUGGACCUGCGUUUGAAACUGUUUUUCUUGAGUGCUGGAGAGGCAAUCGGAAUUCCGUGUGUAGCGGUGAAAUGCGUAGAUAUACGGAGGAACACCAGUGGCGAAGGCGGAUUGCUGGACAUUAACUGACGCUGAGGCGCGAAAGCGUGGGGAGCAAACAGGAUUAGAUACCCUUGUAGUC
rnacentral:rRNA from 1 species